UACAGAGGUCUCAAGCGUUGUUCGGAUUCAUUGGGCGUAAAGGGUGCGUAGGCGGCGCGGUAAGUCGGGUGUGAAAUCUCGGAGCUUAACUCCGAAACUGCAUUUGAUACUGCGGUGCUUGAGGACUGGAGAGGAGACUGGAAUUUACGGUGUAGCAGUGAAAUGCGUAGAGAUCGUAAGGAAGACCAGUGGCGAAGGCGGGUCUCUGGACAGUUCCUGACGCUGAGGCACGAAGGCCAGGGGAGCAAACGGG
rnacentral:rRNA from 1 species